CAUGAAGCUGGAAUCGCUAGUAAUCGCGGAUCAGAAUGCCGCGGUGAAUACGUUCCCGGGUCUUGUACACACCGCCCGUCACACCAUGGGAGUCGGAAAUGCCCGAAGUCGGUGACCGAACCGAAAGGAAGGAGCCGCCGAAGGCAGGUCUGGUGACUGGGGUGAAGUCGUAACAAGGUAUC
rnacentral:rRNA from 1 species